GACGAAGGGGGCUAGCGCUGUUCGGAAUUACUGGGCGUAAAGCGCACGUAGGCGGACUGACAAGUCAGGGGAGAGAUCCCGGGGCUCAACCUCGUAACUGCCUCUGAUACUGUCAGUCUAGAGUCCGGAAGAGGUGGGUGGAAUUCCUAGUGUAGAGGUGAAAUUCGCAGAUAUUAGGAAGAACACCGGUGGCGAAGGCGGCCCACUGGUCCGGAACUGACGCUGAGGUGCGAAAGCGUGGGGAGCAAACAGU
rnacentral:rRNA from 1 species